ACUCAAAGGAAUUGACGGGGACCCGCACAAGCAGCGGAGCGUGUGGUUUAAUUCGACGCAACGCGAAGAACCUUACCAAGGCUUGACAUGCAGUGUUCAAGGGUGGAAACAUUCUGUCCGCAAGGAGAACUGCACAGAUGCUGCAUGGCUGUCGUCAGCUCGUGUCGUGAGAUGUUGGGUUAAGUCCCGCAACGAGCGCAACCCUCGGGGUUAGUUAGAUAAUCUAGCCCGACUGCCGGUAGAAAACCGGAGGAAGGUGGGGAUGAUGUCAAGUCAGCAUGGCUCUUACGUCUUGGGCUACACACACGCUACAAUGGCUGGUACAGAGAGAAGCAAAGCCGCGAGGUGGAGCAAAUCCCAUAAAGCCAGUCUCAGUUCGGAUAGCAGGCUGCAACUCGCCUGCUUGAAGUCGGAGUUGCUAGUAACCGCAAGUCAGCACAUUGCGGUGAAUAUGUUCCCGGGUCUUGUACACACCGCCCGU
rnacentral:rRNA from 1 species